UACGUAGGGGGCAAGCGUUGUCCGGAUUUACUGGGCGUAAAGAGCGUGUAGGCGGCCACGCAGGUCCGUUGUGAAAACUGGAGGCUCAACCUUCAGACGUCGACGGAAACCGUAUGGCUAGAGUCCGGAAGAGGAGAGUGGAAUUCCUGGUGUAGCGGUGAAAUGCGCAGAUAUCAGGAAGAACACCGAUGGCGAAGGCAAUCCCCUGGGCCUGCACUGACGCUCAUGCACGAAAGCGUGGGGAGCAAACAGG
rnacentral:rRNA from 1 species